rnacentral:rRNA from 1 species
GUGUCAGCAGCCGCGGUAAUACGUAGGAGACGAGCGUUAUCCGGAUUUACUGGGCGUAAAGAGGGCGUAGGCGGUCUUUCAAGUCGGAUGUGAAAUCUCCCGGCUUAACUGGGAGGGGUCAUUCGAUACUGUUGGGCUAGAGGGCAGCAGAGGGAGGUGGAAUUCCCGGUGUAGUGGUGAAAUGCGUAGAUAUCGGGAGGAACACCAGUGGCGAAGGCGGCCUCCUGGGCUGUUUCUGACGCUGAGGCCCAAAAGCGUGGGGAGCGAACAGGAUUAGAUACCCUGGUAGUCCACGCUGUAAACUAUGGACACUAGGUAUGGGGAGUAUCGACCCUCUCCGUGCCGAAGCUAACGCUUUAAGUGUCCCGCCUGGGGACUACGGCCGCAAGGCUAAAACUCAAAGGAAUUGGCGGGG